rnacentral:rRNA from 1 species
GACGAACGCUGGCGGCGUGCUUAACACAUGCAAGUCGAACGGAAAGGCCCUGCUUUUGUGGGGUGCUCGAGUGGCGAACGGGUGAGUAACACGUGAGUAACCUGCCCUUGACUUUGGGAUAACUUCAGGAACCUGGGGCUAAUACCCGAUAUGAGCUCCUGCUGCAUGGUGGGGGUUGGAAAGUUUCGGUGGUUGGGGAUGGACUCGCGGGUUAUGGGCUUGUUGGUGGGGUAGUGGCUUACCACGGGUUUGACCGGUAGCCGGCCUGCGAGGGUGACCGGCCACAAUGGGACUGAGGGAAGGCCCAGAGUCCAACGGUAGGCAGCAGUGGGGAGCAUGACACAGUGGGCGGAAGCCUGAGGCAGCAACCCUGCGUGCGGGAUGACGGCCUUCGGGGUGUAAACCGCUUGAGCCUGUGACGAAGCGUGAGUGACGGUAACGGGUAAAGAAGCACCGGCUAACUACGUG